UCACAGAAUUCUCACGUGAAAGAGGGAGGCCGAGGAGGGAGAACCAGACACCUGGCACCUGAGAGCCUGGGCUGCCAUUGCUGGCUUUGAAGAUGAAGGACAGCAGCCACGAGUCAGAAAAUGGGAGUGGUUUCUAGAAGCCGGAAAAGGCAAGGAGAUACACUGGAUUCUGUUCACUGACCUUUUCUAUAUGGAUGCUUCUGGAUGAGGCCUGUCAUGCCAGCUGAAAGGCAAAAUGCAGAGCAGCCACUAGUAGGUAAUUAGAGGAAUAAGACCUUCAAGAGUGCUCAUAUGCCAUAAUCAAUUGAAAAAUCUGCUUACUGUUACCGGGAGCAUAAAUGCCAAGAUUUGGUAUUCAAUUUGGUCUAUAUUCACGAAGGAUCAAGAGAAUUAGCAGCAGUGUU